rnacentral:rRNA from 1 species
GACGGAGGAUGCAAGCGUUAUCCGGAAUGCUUGGGCGUCAAGCGUCCGCUGGUGGCUAGUCAAGUCCGCUGUCAAAGCGCGAGGCUUAACCUCAUACAGGCAGUGGAAACUGACCAGCUAGAGGAUGGUAGGGGUAGAGGGAAUUCCCAGUGUAGCGGUGAAAAGCGUAGAUAUUGGGAAGAACACCAGUGGCGAAAGCGCUCUACUGGGCCGCCCCUCACACUGAGGGACGAAAGCCAGGGGAGCGAAAGGG